rnacentral:tRNA from 1 species
GGAGAGGUGACCGAGAGGCCGAAGGUGCACGAUUGGAAAUCGUGUGUGCAGAAAUGUACCGGGAGUUCGAAUCUCCCCCUCUCCGCCA